AUGUCAGUUUUCAAACUACCUAAAGGAAUUUGUAAAUCUAUUACCGAUGAAAUCUCUGGCUUUUGGAGGGGUGAUGGGGAGGAAAAGAAGAAGAUACAUUGCUUUUCAUGGUCGAAGUUAUGUGUACCAAAGAAAAAAGGGGGACUGGGCUUUGGAGACCUUCAUUGUUUUAAUCUUGCUAUGUUAGAAAAUCAGUGUUGGCGACUAAUCCAAAAACCUUGAAUCUCUUGUGCAAUGGUGUUAAGUGCAAAAUAUUACCUGGAUGGAGACAUCUUGAAGGCUGGUCCAAGGGAAGGUUCUUCGUUUACCUAGCAAAGUAUUUUUUUGCUGUAUUCAAACUUUUAA
rnacentral:rRNA from 1 species